ensembl:lncRNA
CGGAGGGGCGGGGCGGAAGGAUUUCAAUCGCUCCGACAGUGAAAACUGGCGCACACUCCGUGAGGAGCAGGAUGAGGAGGAAGGUGGAGGUGGAGGAGACGCAGGCGUGAGCUGGAGGGUGGCCGGGACACGCCGUGAUGACGGAGGCCCACGCUCGGCCGGAUGGAGGGACCACGGAGAUGUGCGACGCAGGAAAUGCGAGUUCGAUUUCCGUGAAGGUGACGUGGGCCGGCGAAGGGCAGGGAGCGAGGGAGGAGAGGAGGAGAGAGACGGGCUGCCGGAGUGGUGCACUGAUGAAGAGGAGGGAGAGAUGGGCACCUUCGAUUCAUCCGGAGCAUUCAUGUGUGUCAAGAAGACGUCGAGAGACGCGAUCCCCG